rnacentral:piRNA from 1 species
AACUCCAAUGGAGAUGAGGCCGGCA